rnacentral:rRNA from 1 species
UAGGGAAUUUUCGUCAAUGGGCGCAAGCCUGAACGAGCGAUGCCGCGUGAGUGAAGAAGGCCUUCGGUCGUAAAGCUCUGUUGCGGGGGAAAAAAGGGCAUCUGCAGGAAAUGGUAGAUGACAGAUGGUGCCCCGCCAGAAAGUCACGGCUAACUACGUGCC